rfam:Triticum aestivum genome assembly, contig: Triticum_aestivum_CS42_TGACv1_scaffold_592435_7BS
CAAGUACUCCCUCCGUCUGAAAAUACUUGUCAUCAAAAUGGAUAAAAGGUGAUGUAUCUUGAACUAAAAUAUAUCUAGAUACAUCCUCUUUUAUCCAUUUUGAUGACAAAUAUUUUCGGACGGAGGGAGUACCAC